GGCCCGGGAUAGCCCCAGGGAAACCUGGAGUUAAUACCGGAUGAGACGGGACCCGCGAUGGCGGGACCCGGGAAAGGCGCUGCGGCGCCGCCGGGGGAUGAGUCUGCGUCCCAUUAGCUAGACGGCGGGGUAACGGCCCACCGUGGCGACGAUGGGUAGCCGGCCUGACGAGGGUGGACGGCCACAUUGGAACUGAGACACGGUCCAGACUCCUACGGGAGGCAGCAGCUAAGAAUCUUCCGCAAUGGGCGAAAGCCUGACGGAGCGACGACCCGCGUGAACGAAGAAGGCCGUAGAGGUUUGUAAAGUUCGUUUUCGGGAGGGGGAACAACCGUGGCAGGGAAUGGCCGCGGGAUGACGUGAAUCCCGGAAUAAGCCCCGGCUAACUACGUGCCAGCAGCGGC
rnacentral:rRNA from 1 species